UUCAAAGCACACCUAUUUGAGCCCUUUUGUAUGAGAUAUGUCAGAAAGGUAUCUGCCAAAACUUACAUCUACUAAGUCUGUCUACUGAAUUGAGAAUUUUCUUUCUCUUUCUUUGACAAAUCCUGAGUGUCAUCUUGUAAUUACGUGUGAUUCCUUUUGGCCCCAACCAAGGCAGAGUUGCUGGGCUCCAUUAGUGAGCAAUCACUGAGGCACAAGGUGUAAAGACAUCAAAGUCAUUGUGUAACGAAGAUGCCAAAGCUUCUCCAGCAGGGUACAGCUUGUUCCUCGGAGGACUUUGGAGACUGGCAGCCAGUUUGGAAGAGGCUGAUUGAUGCCUCGGCCCGUUUGUGAACUCCUCAUCAGAUGGCCUGCAGGUUCCAUUGAAGUAUCUCAUGAGGGAGUCAACUUGUAUCCUCCAGCCACAUUUCAAAGCAGAAAUCCACAGAGAUGGGCAUAAUUGGCCCUAGACUACAGAGUAUGAAACUGGCAUUGGUGCAGACUGAGUUCUCCGCCUAAGGCCACAGUUACCAAGUGGUAGAGAUUAACCCUGGCUCCUGCUGACUCCAGGCUGUGCUAACCACAGGACUGAUGUCUCUGACUUCCCGUAAAAGAAAGCGUGUGUCUGUUGUCAGUGGCGACACCUUGAAGAAAAUGUUUCUCCGUCCACCAUCAGCCAUUAAUGGUGUCACCUCUUCAGGGAGAGUGAGGCCUCACUAGUUCCCUCUCUUUCCACAGCAGAGGGUUGAUAAGGCCAAUCUUACACAGAUCUUGUUCAGGAAGUCACAGCUGCUGAGGGUCAAAGGUACAGCAGCCAUGGCAUGCCCAGAAGUCAACAUUCCAUGCCACCACAAAGCCGCCAUGAAGCUACCAAGAAGCCAUCACCAAGCCACCACCACUUACGCUGGCUAUUACAUUCUUUCCGUCUUCCAUGAUGUUCCCUGAGCUUUGAAGGGGGUGAUACAGACAUCCCACUCGGGACUGGGCACUGAGCACUUUUCAAUGGACAAUCUUCUCAUGAGCAUGUCAAGCGUGCAAACCUUGAUGCCUCGUGACAUUUUUACUGGUUUCAGAGAAAUAAAACUCACUUCAAAUAGUAGAAGGUUUGCAAAGUGUAUUCCUUGUUUCAUCUGACUUUGCAAGUAGCUUUUUGCACACUAUUCCAGUCAGUGAGCAUGGGACAGCUCCCCAUUCUCUUAGACUCUGAUUUCUUCCCUCGGCAUCUCAGUGUUCAGCAUGUGAGUUUGGCGCAUGCUCUGCUGAACUCGUGCCUACAUAUUUGUCUUUCCUUUGAGAAACUAAGAGUGGUGUUUAUACCACUUUGCAUUUAGAGGAGGGAAUUGUUUCCCACUUGUUUGUUAUUAUUGUAUUGAAGCAAAACUGACUUCUGUGUGUUUCUCUCUCUCAUAAACUCACUGAUUAGUUUAGGAUGUAUUUUUGUAGAUUACUUGGGAUUUAGUUCUGUAGAUAAUAAUCAUGUCAUCUAAAAUAAAGACGGUUUGUUAAUUUCUGA